rnacentral:rRNA from 1 species
AAAUAUAUAUGCAUAUGAAGGGGUGAAAUCUUUUAAUUGUAAUAUUAUAUAAUUUAUUUUCCAUAUCAUCAAGAAAGAAACUAGGAUUAGAUACCCUAUUAUUCUUGAAAUUUAUAGUCUGAAGUAGUAAAGUUGAAACUUAAAAAUUUUGGCAGUAUUUAAUUUUCUAGAGAAAUAUGUAAUUUAAUCGAAAAUACACGAAAAUCUUACUUGUUUUAUUUUUGUAUAUCUCCGUUGACAGAUUUUUAUAAAUGAAAAUAAUUUUCUGAUAAUAAAAUAUUUAACAUCAGGUCAAGGUGCAAAAUAAAUAAGUUAUUAUGUAUUACAAUCAAAUUUAUUGAAAUGGAUAAAUAAUUGAAAAUAUUAUUUUAAAAAUGAAUUUAUAAGUAAAAUAAAAAAAUAAUUUUAUUUGAAAUAUUAUUAAAUAUGU